CAUCCGAGGCCCCGUAAUCGGAAUGAGUACACUUUAAAUCCUUUAACGAGGAUMCAUUGGAGGGCAAGUCUGGUGCCAGCAGCCGCGGUAAUUCCAGCUCCAAUAGCGUAUAUUAAAGUUGUUGCGGUUAAAAAGCUCGUAGUUGAAUCUGUGUGCCACAAUGUCGGUCCGCCGCUCGCGGUGGUUACUUGCAUACCGUGGGACGUCCUACCGGUGGACUUAGCCCUUCGGGGCGGUCCAACUAAUAUCCCAUCGCGGUGCUCUUUAUUGAGUGUCGAGAUGGGCCGGUACGUUUACUUUGAACAAAUUAGAGUGCUUAAAGCAGGCUACUUUCGCCUGAAUACUGUGUGCAUGGAAUAAUGGAAUAGGACCUCGGUUCUAUUUUGUUGGUUUUCGGAACCCCGAGGUAAUGAUUAAUAGGGACAGAUGGGGGCAUUCGUAUUGCGACGUUAGAGGUGAAAUUCUUGGAUCGUCGCAAGACGGACAGAAGCGAAAGCAUUUGCCAAAAAUGUUUUCAUUAAUCAAGAACGAAAGUUAGAGGUUCGAAGGCGAUCAGAUACCGCCCUAGUUCUAACCAUAAACGAUGCCAGCUAGCGAUCCGCCGAAGUUCCUCCGAUGACUCGGCGGGCAGCUUCCGGGAAACCAAAGCUUUUGGGUUCCGGGGGAAGUAUGGUUGCAAAGCUGAAACUUAAAGGAAUUGACGGAAGGGCACCACCAGGAGUGGAGCCUGCGGCUUAAUUUGACUCAACACGGGAAACCUCACCAGGCCCGGACACCGGAARGAUUGACAGAUUGAUAGCUCUUUCUUGAUUC
rnacentral:rRNA from 1 species